AUACGUAGGGUGCAAGCGUUAAUCGGAAUUACUGGGCGUAAAGCGUGCGCAGGCGGGUUUGUAAGACAGAGGUGAAAUCCCCGGGCUCAACCUGGGAACCGCCUUUGUGACUGCAAGGCUAGAGUACGGCAGAGGGGGGUGGAAUUCCGCGGGUAACAGUGAAAUGCGUAGAUAUGCGGAGGAACACCGAUGGCGAAGGCAAUCCCCUGGGCCUGUACUGACGCUCAUGCACGAAAGCGUGGGGAGCAAACAGGAUUAGAUACCCUGGUAGUCCACGCCCUAAACGAUGUCAACUGGUUGUUGGGUCUUCAUUGACUCAGUAACGAAGCUAACGCGUGAAGUUGACCGCCUGGGGAGUACGGCCGCAAGGUUGAAACUCAAAUGAAUUGACGGGG
rnacentral:rRNA from 1 species